GCAAGACGGAAAGACCCCGUGAACCUUUACUAUAGCUUGACACUGAACAUUGAGCCUUGAUGUGUAGGAUAGGUGGGAGGCUUUGAAGUGUGGACGCCAGUCUGCAUGGAGUCGACCUUGAAAUACCACCCUUUAAUGUUUGAUGUUCUAACGUUGACCCGUGAUCCGGGUUGCGGACAGUGUCUGGUGGGUAGUUUGACUGGGGCGGUCUCCUCCUAAAGAG
rnacentral:rRNA from 1 species